rnacentral:siRNA from 1 species
ACCGCGGGUUAUAAUCUAGUGGUA